UACGUAGGGGGCAAGCGUUGUCCGGAAUCAUUGGGCGUAAAGAGCGCGUAGGCGGCCCAGUAAGUCCGCUCUGAAAGUCAGGGGCUCAACCCCUGGAUGCGGGUGGAUACUGCUGGGCUAGAGUCCGGAAGAGGUGAGUGGAAUUCCGGGUGUAGCGGUGAAAUGCGCAGAUAUCAGGAGGAACACCGGUGGCGAAGGCGGAUCUCUGGGCCUUACCUGACGCUGAGGAGCGAAAGCGUGGGUAGCGAACAGG
rnacentral:rRNA from 1 species